UUGAGGAAGUAAAAGUCGUAACAAGGUUUCCGUAGGUGAACCUGCGGAAGGAUCAUUAACGAGUUGAACGGGGUUGUAGCUGGCCUUCACRGGCAUGUGCACACCUCACUCAUCCACUCUACACCUGUGCACUUACUGUGGGUUUCGAGAGGCCGCGCUUGCGUGGUUGAUCGGGCUCACGUCUAUUACAAACUCUUCAGUAUCAGAAUGUGUAUCGCGAUGUAACGCAUCUAUAUACAACUUUCAGCAACGGAUCUCUUGGCUCUCGCAUCGAUGAAGAACGCAGCGAAAUGCGAUAAGUAAUGUGAAUUGCAGAAUUCAGUGAAUCAUCGAAUCUUUGAACGCACCUUGCGCUCCUUGGUAUUCCGAGGAGCAUGCCUGUUUGAGUGUCGUGUAAUUCUCAACCUAUAAAUCCUUGUGGUUUUUAGGCUUGGACUUGGAGGCUUUUGCUGGCUUUACCGUCGGCUCCUCUUAAAUGCAUUAGCUUGAUUCCUUGCGGAUCGGCUCUCAGUGUGAUAAUUAUCUGCGCUGUGACCGUGAAGCGUUUGGCGAGCUUCUAACCGUCUCUUUGAGACAAACACUUUGACAUCUGACCUCAAAUCAGGUA
rnacentral:rRNA from 1 species